GAUGAACGCUAGCGGCAGGCCUAACACAUGCAAGUCGAGGGGCAUCGGGAUUGAAGCUUGCUUCAAUUGCCGGCGACCGGCGCACGGGUGCGUAACGCGUAUGUAACCUACCUAUAACAGGGGCAUAACACUGAGAAAUUGGUACUAAUUCCCCAUAAUAUUCGGAGAGGCAUCUCUCCGGGUUGAAAACUCCGGUGGUUAUAGAUGGACAUGCGUUGUAUUAGCUAGUUGGUGAGGUAACGGCUCACCAAGGCAACGAUACAUAGGGGGACUGAGAGGUUAACCCCCCCACACUGGUACUGAGACACGGACCAGACUCCUACGGGAGGCAGCAGUGAGGAAUAUUGGUCAAUGGACGCAAGUCUGAACCAGCCAUGCCGCGUGCAGGAAGACGGCUCUAUGAGUUGUAAACUGCUUUUGUACGAGGGUAAACUCACCUACGUGUAGGUGACUGAAAGUAUCGUACGAAUAAGGAUCGGCUAACUCCGUGCCAGCAGCCGCGGUAAUACGGAGGAUUCAAGCGUUAUCCGGAUUUAUUGGGUUUAAAGGGUGCGUAGGCGGUUUGAUAAGUUAGAGGUGAAAUCCCGGGGCUUAACUCCGGAACUGCCUCUAAUACUGUUAGACUAGAGAGUAGUUGCGGUAGGCGGAAUGUAUGGUGUAGCGGUGAAAUGCUUAGAGAUCAUACAGAACACCGAUUGCGAAGGCAGCUUACCAAACUAUAUCUGACGUUGAGGCACGAAAGCGUGGGGAGCAAACAGGAUUAGAUACCCUGGUAGUCCACGCAGUAAACGAUGAUAACUCGUUGUCGGCGAUACACAGUCGGUGACUAAGCGAAAGCGAUAAGUUAUCCACCUGGGGAGUACGUUCGCAAGAAUGAAACUCAAAGGAAUUGACGGGGGCCCGCACAAGCGGAGGAACAUGUGGUUUAAUUCGAUGAUACGCGAGGAACCUUACCCGGGCUUGAAAGUUACUGACGAUUCUGGAAACAGGAUUUCCCUUCGGGGCAGGAAACUAGGUGCUGCAUGGUUGUCGUCAGCUCGUGCCGUGAGGUGUCGGGUUAAGUCCCAUAACGAGCGCAACCCCUACCGUUAGUUGCCAUCAGGUCAAGCUGGGCACUCUGGCGGGACUGCCGGUGUAAGCCGAGAGGAAGGUGGGGAUGACGUCAAAUCAGCACGGCCCUUACGUCCGGGGCUACACACGUGUUACAAUGGUAGGUACAGAGGGUCGCUACCCCGCGAGGGGAUGCCAAUCUCGAAAGCCUAUCUCAGUUCGGAUUGGAGGCUGAAACCCGCCUCCAUGAAGUUGGAUUCGCUAGUAAUCGCGCAUCAGCCAUGGCGCGGUGAAUACGUUCCCGGGCCUUGUACACACCGCCCGUCAAGCCAUGGAAGCUGGGGGUGCCUGAAGUUCGUGACCGCAAGGAGCGACCUAGGGCAAAACCGGUAACUGGGGCU
rnacentral:rRNA from 1 species